UGUGUUGUUGGGUAGGGGAGCGUUCUGUAAGCCGUUGAAGGUGGCCUGUGAGGGUUGCUGGAGGUAUCAGAAGUGCGAAUGCUGACAUAAGUAACGAUAAAGCGGGUGAAAAGCCCGCUCGCCGGAAGACCAAGGGUUCCUGUCCAACGUUAAUCGGGGCAGGGUGAGUCGACCCCUAAGGCGAGGCCGAAAGGCGUAGUCGAUGGGAAACAGGUUAAUAUUCCUGUACUUGGUGUUACUGCGAAGGGGGGACGGAGAAGGCUAUGUUGGCCGGGCGACGGUUGUCCCGGUUUAAGCGUGUAGGCUGAUUUUCCAGGCAAAUCCGGAGAAUCAAGGCUGAGGCGUGAUGACGAGGCACUACGGUGCUGAAGCAACAAAUGCCCUGCUUCCAGGAAAAGCCUCUAAGCAUCAGGUAACAUCAAAUCGUACCCCAAACCGACACAGGUGGUCAGGUAGAGAAUACCAAGGCGCUUGAGAGAACUCGGGUGAAGGAACUAGGCAAAAUGGUGCCGUAACUUCGGGAGAAGGCACGCUGAUGGUAGGUGAAGCGACCUGCUCGUGGAGCUGAAAUCAGUCGAAGAUACCAGCUGGCUGCAACUGUUUAUUAAAAACACAGCACUGUGCAAACACGAAAGUGGACGUAUACGGUGUGACGCCUGCCCGGUGCCGGAAGGUUAAUUGAUGGGGUCAGCCGCAAGGCGAAGCUCUUGAUCGAAGCCCCGGUAAACGGCGGCCGUAACUAUAACGGUCCUAAGGUAGCGAAAUUCCUUGUCGGGUAAGUUCCGACCUGCACGAAUGGCGUAAUGAUGGCCAGGCUGUCUCCACCCGAGACUCAGUGAAAUUGAACUCGCUGUGAAGAUGCAGUGUACCCGCGGCAAGACGGAAAGACCCCGUGAACCUUUACUAUAGCUUGACACUGAACAUUGAGCCUUGAUGUGUAGGAUAGGUGGGAGGCUUUGAAGUGUGGACGCCAGUCUGCAUGGAGCCGACCUUGAAAUACCACCCUUUAAUGUUUGAUGUUCUAACGUGGACCCGUGAUCCGGGUUGCGGACAGUGUCUGGUGGGUAGUUUGACUGGGGCGGUCUCCUCCUAAAGAGUAACGGAGGAGCACGAAGGUUGGCUAAUCCUGGUCGGACAUCAGGAGGUUAGUGCAAUGGCAUAAGCCAGCUUGACUGCGAGCGUGACGGCGCGAGCAGGUGCGAAAGCAGGUCAUAGUGAUCCGGUGGUUCUGAAUGGAAGGGCCAUCGCUCAACGGAUAAAAGGUACUCCGGGGAUAACAGGCUGAUACCGCCCAAGAGUUCAUAUCGACGGCGGUGUUUGGCACCUCGAUGUCGGCUCAUCACAUCCUGGGGCUGAAGUAGGUCCCAAGGGUAUGGCUGUUCGCCAUUUAAAGUGGUACGCGAGCUGGGUUUAGAACGUCGUGAGACAGUUCGGUCCCUAUCUGCCGUGGGCGCUGGAGAACUGAGGGGGGCUGCUCCUAGUACGAGAGGACCGGAGUGGACGCAUCACUGGUGUUCGGGUUGUCAUGCCAAUGGCACUGCCCGGUAGCUAAAUGCGGAAGAGAUAAGUGCUGAAAGCAUCUAAGCACGAAACUUGCCCCGAGAUGAGUUCUCCCUGAGACUUUAAGUCUCCUGAAGGAACGUUGAAGACGACGACGUUGAUAGGCCGGGUGUGUAAGCGCAGCGAUGCGUUGAGCUAACCGGUACUAAUGAACCGUGAGGCUUAACCUU
rnacentral:rRNA from 1 species